rnacentral:lncRNA from 1 species
AAUGAGCCUGAGGCAUUCUUUUAUCUUUUAAUCCUAGAGAUUGUUAAGCUUCCUGUACUGUAGGAACUACCCACCUAAGCUGGCAUCAUACAGAAUAUAAUUUUGCAACAUAUAGUUAAGAUUCUGACAAUGUAGUUUUUCUCUUUAGGUUAACUGGAAUGCCUUUUACCGGAGGUCCAGAGAAAAACUCUACUGAGAAUAAAAGCCCUAAACAGACUGUGAGCUCUCAUUCAAGUUUCUUAACAAUAUUGAUUUAUCUCAAGAGUCUGCACCGUGACAAUUUCUUUAUCCUCUCCAAACUCAAAACUCUCACCAAUUAUUACUAUUUUAGGGCCAAAGUUAAGGCAAAGAACCCAAGAAAGAUAAUUACAGGGAAACAAAAACAAUGGCAAGUUAAAAUGAUUUACAAAUAUUUAAAACUUCUUUAAAAACCACCUAAACUUUCAUAAGCAAAGAGGAAAAAAAAAGGGAUCUUUAUCUUUUUACGGUUAACUCUGAAAUAUUAUUAUAGUAUAAUUAUUCAAAGUAUCCAAUUAUUUCUAAGUAUCUCCAAUAUAACAAUUUAUAUUAUCAACUCAGCAGUACUUUUUUGUUUUUUCUUUAUUUUUAAGAUUAUCUUCUAAAGAUCUAAGCUGAGCAGUACUCUUAAAAUGAAAUACACAUGAAAAUGUUAGAAUGAAAUAUAAUACUCAUCUUUAAAUGAAGCUAUGUCUACCUCUCUUUUAAUUAAAACGUAGUCACUGUAUAAGGUUUAAGAUUUGUUCCAAAAAAUCUAAGUGACUCUGUAUAACCACAUUAGCAUAAUCUGAAGUAAACUUCUCUAGGAACAAGGUAAUCGAGAUGAAAUACACUAAUAAUUCAACAAUUAAAAACUAUAAACUAGGUUGUCCUACUUUUGGUAUGAUCUAGCUGAUCAUAUUACUGUCAAAUUUUUUAGAGUUGUGUUUGCAAUUAUGAAUGUCUUAAUUUACUCAAGAAAGUUCCGAAGCAAGCGCCAAGACACUUCAAGAAGCAGCUCUCCAGGGACAAACUCAUAAAGCAUAGUUUAAGAAAAAGAUCCUUUCUCUAGUCACAAAGGUUAUGAGACCAGCUCCCACCAUGCCCACUGGGCUCAGAAGAGUUUUGCCAGUAGGAAGGACAUGACUGUCAACUCUUGACACUUAGGUUCCACUUCCAAUCUUGACUCCAGCUCCCGGCACAGAGGAAUACAGACAAGCCUAUACUUCUUCCCCACCCUAAGCAACUGAUACACCACAAGUGGUAUCAUAACUCAGACUGCAGCUGCUUCUCCAGAAACCAGGUGAUAAAGACAAAACAUGAGAAACCCUACAGAGAGGACAUGGUGAAUGUUAUCUCAUCCUGAAUCUGGCCACAGACUGACUGGAACCAUUAAGACCCAUCAGGAAGAAAGAUCCAUCAGGAAGACAUAGUCUGGCAAUGAUCUUUUCCCAGCCAUUGGUUUUAGGGUAUUCAAGUAAUCAACAAAGAUAACAAAAGUUGAAAUACAUAUUUAACCACACUAUAUGCUUACAGAUUCUAAGCUAAUCUACAUAGCCAAUAACAAAGGGAAAUGUGCCUUCCAAUCCAAAGUUCAGACAGGAUAUUUAAGGACCACAGUUUUAAUUUUUUUUUUUUUAAAGAUAAGGCUGCAAAGUCCACAAAUGCUUAUAAACCAGUGCCUCAACCAAUACUUUUAUCUUAAAGAAAAAAAAUCAAUUAGGAGGUCAUUUGAGAAACUAGCUGUUUGCACCUAAUUUUAAAUGUAAACAAUAAAUAGUAUAAGAAUGCCAAACAUUUUGUCAACUGACUAUCCUAUUGAAAAAAACAAACUUGGGAGAAAUGAAACCUUAGAAAAAAUGAUAUCCAAUGAAAUGGUUUCUGAAAGAAAUCAAGCAUAGGCUUACUUAGAUAAAAACUAUUAGCAACAAUGGUAAUCAUCAUCCAGGGUAAAAAAAAAAAAAAAAAAAAAACUAAUAAAAAUUUGCAACUUUAUAUGCAUAUUUAGAAUUGCUUGUAGAAACGUUUAAAAAUAAGUUUAAACCUGAACCAGAAAAGAAAAUUUUAUCAGAUGAGUCCCUUAUAUUCUAAGAAUUCAGCACAGGCCAAUAAUAAUCUACCACCAUAUUGAAAUAAGACUUUCCAAAGUCUUAUUUAAAUGUGCUUUAAGAUAUUAUCUUUAUUUCUGUUUUCAACAAAGGUAUUAUAUUGCCCUUAAGAGAUAAUGCCACUAAUGAAGUGAAGAAAAAUGAAGCAUGACUUUUCAUCACUUCUAAUGUUGAGUUCAGUGGGUACUUUCUGAGAAUUAUAGAAUGUUCUACACAAGGCCAUCUAGACCUCCCUAAUUUUGCCUUAUUCAAAGAGAUUAGUAUUUUUGCAUUCUUACCUUUUCACUGAAACACUCAAGCAAGUCUUGGACAUACCCUCGCAUUUCUUGCAAAAAUUUAUACCGUUCACCAAUACCCCCAGAAGACCCUUCUAAUCUUUCAAUAGCCCUGGUAGAGUCCACUCGGCUUUGCAGAUGUUUCUCAUGCUGCUGUCGAUUUGUUUUGUGCAAUUCUUUCAUGGAGUCCAACCUUAGGAACACAAAAGGAUAAAUAUAACACAUUUACAUCCAAAGGUCUAUGGUGUCAGGACUCUUGCAAUAUUAAAAUAUGCAUUUAGCUCCACUAUUAGAACAUAAAAAUAUUUGGAAUGGCAUCUUUUCCUCUGUACUGCUUUUUUUCUCAAAAAACAAAAAAUGGCAGUUUACAGAUUUCACAGUUUUGUGGGCUAACCAAAAUCUCACUGUUUUGCUUUUC